rnacentral:rRNA from 1 species
UACGAAGGGGGCUAGCGUUGCUCGGAAUCACUGGGCGUAAAGGGUGCGUAGGCGGGUCUUUAAGUCAGGGGUGAAAUCCUGGAGCUCAACUCCAGAACUGCCUUUGAUACUGAAGAUCUUGAGUCCGGGAGAGGUGAGUGGAACUGCGAGUGUAGAGGUGAAAUUCGUAGAUAUUCGCAAGAACACCAGUGGCGAAGGCGGCUCACUGGCCCGGUACUGACGCUGAGGUACGAAAGCGUGGGGAGCAAACAGG